rnacentral:rRNA from 1 species
CCCAAGAGUUCAUAUCGACGGCGGUGUUUGGCACCUCGAUGUCGGCUCAUCACAUCCUGGGGCUGUAGUCGGUCCCAAGGGUAUUGGCUGUUCGCCAUUUAAAAGUGGUAACGCGAGCUGGGUUCAGAACGUCGUGAGACAGUUCGGUCCCUAUCUGCCAUGGGCGUUGGAAGUUUGAGAGGGGCUGCUCCUAGUACGAGAGGACCGGAGUGGACGAACCUCUGGUGUUCCGGUUGUCACGCCAGUGGCAUUGCCGGGUAGCUAUGUUCGGAAGCGAUAACCGCUGAAAGCAUCUAAGCGGGAAGCGCGCCUCAAGAUGAGACUUCCCGGGGCACAAGCCCCCUAAAGGAACCAUGUAGACUACGUGGUUGAUAGGUCAGGUGUGUAAGUACAGCAAUGUAUUGAGCUAACUGAUACUAAUGAUCCGUGCGGCUUGACCAUAUAACCUCA